GUGGACGCCAGUCUGCAUGGAGCCGACCUUGAAAUACCACCCUUUAAUGUUUGAUGUUCUAACGUGGACCCGUAAUCCGGGUUGCGGACAGUGUCUGGUGGGUAGUUUGACUGGGGCGGUCUCCUCCUAAAGAGUAACGGAGGAGCACGAAGGUUGGCUAAUCUUGGUCGGACAUCAGGAGGUUAGUGCAAUGGCAUAAGCCAGCUUGACUGCGAGCGUGACGGCGCGAGCAGGUGCGAAAGCAGGUCAUAGUGAUCCGGUGGUUCUGAAUGGAAGGGCCAUCGCUCAACGGAUAAAAGGUACUCCGGGGAUAACAGGCUGAUACCGCCCAAGAGUUCAUAUCGACGGCGGUGUUUGGCACCUCGAUGUCGGCUCAUCACAUCCUGGGGCUGAAGUAGGUCCCAAGGGUAUGGCUGUUCGCCAUUUAAAGUGGUACGCGAGCUGGGUUUAGAACGUCGUGAGACAGUUCGGUCCCUAUCUGCCGUGGGCGCUGGAGAACUGAGGGGGGCUGCUCCUAGUACGAGAGGACCGGAGUGGACGCAUCACUGGUGUUCGGGUUGUCAUGCCAAUGGCACUGCCCGGUAGCUAAAUGCGGAAGAGAUAAGUGCUGAAAGCAUCUAAGCACGAAACUUGCCCCGAGAUGAGUUCUCCCUGAGACUUUAAGUCUCCUGAAGGAACGUUGAAGACGACGACGUUGAUAGGCCGGGUGUGUAAGCGCAGCGAUGCGUUGAGCUAACCGGUACUAAUGAACCGUGAGGCUUAACCUUACAACGCCGAAG
rnacentral:rRNA from 1 species